rnacentral:rRNA from 1 species
UACAGAGGUCUCGAGCGUUGUUCGGAUUCAUUGGGCGUAAAGGGUGCGUAGGUGGCAGGGUAAGUCGGAUGUGAAAUCCCGGGGCUCAACCUCGGAACUGCAUUCGAUACUGCUUUGCUUGAGUACUGGAGAGGAGAUUGGAAUUUACGGUGUAGCAGUGAAAUGCGUAGAUAUCGUAAGGAAGACCAGUGGCGAAGGCGGAUCUCUGGACAGUUACUGACACUGAGGCACGAAGGCCAGGGGAGCAAACGGG